rnacentral:rRNA from 1 species
UACGGAGGAUGCAAGCGUUAUCCGGAAUGAUUGGGCGUAAAGCGUCCGCAGGUGGCUAUGUAAGUCUGCUGUUAAAGAGUGAGGCUCAACCUCAUAAGAGCAGUGGAAACUACAUGGCUAGAGUGCGUUCGGGGCAGAGGGAAUUCCUGGUGUAGCGGUGAAAUGCGUAGAUAUCAGGAAGAACACCGGUGGCGAAAGCGGCAUCCUGGACCGACACUGACGCUGAUGAGCGAAAGCCAGGGGAGCAAACGGG